rnacentral:tRNA from 1 species
GGUAAAAUGGCUGAUAAUAGGCGGUAAAUUGUAAAUUUACUUAUGAGAAAAAUAUCUCUUUUACCA